GGAUGGAAGGGCAAUCUCGCUGCAACAUCUGUCACCCCACUGAUCAUCAGGGUUGAUUCGGCUGAUCUCAGUGUCCCCUUAUCACUUCCCUCUCCAUGUGCAACUCUCUGAAUGCUAUGCAAGGAGGAAAAGGAUGACCUUCCUGUUUUCUUGGUCAAGGGUAUACAAGCAGCUGCACUCACUGCUAGAGCUUUCAAAGAAGUUCUCAAGGGAAGCUGAGAUUUAUUGUAAGGAAUUUUUUCUCUCAAGCAUGCAUCCAGCUGCCCACCACACU
rnacentral:snRNA from 1 species